GUCUAGUGAAAGUAAAAAGAAGAAAAACAGAGCUAAGCCAAGGAAAUGAUUUCUUUCCCACCUACAAUGCAUGAAAAGAAAUUAACAUGAAAAGGGUCUGAGGAAGACAUUAAUAUUUUGAUAGUGGCAGAAGAAUGUUAUUUACAAAAAUAAUGACAAAUGUUGAAGAGAAAAUACAGGCUUCCUAGCAACUAGACCAAAGAUAAGAGACUAGGCCCAGACAGAAGGAUAUGCCACAGCAGGAGACAGGAUCCAGAAUGAGAAUAGACAAAAGACAUUUUCAAAAGUCCAGGUUCACAGCUUGACAGAAGCCUUCACACAGAAAGAGCCAUUGCACAUUGGACAGAUGAUCCCAGAAUGGAAGUUUCCAGAGGAAAUAACAGUCAAUAAACAGGGGUUGAUCCCAGGAUUCUGUGCCUGCUAAGCAAACAUUCUGUCACAGAGCUACACCUCCCGUUCCAGAUGAAUUACUGGUGUGAUGAAUUUGACUUCAACUUAAUGACACAACUUGUAAUGUUACCAAAAAAAAAAAAAAAAAAAGGAAUAAUUCCACAAGGCAAACAUUCAAACAUAAAUCCACGAAGUUGAACGUCAUCAGCGAUCUGAUUCAUUUUAUGAUUAGAAUAACAUUCCUUAAUAAUUCUUAUAUAACAUGGCUUGAGAUACCCAAAGUACAUAUUUUCUAUCAACACAAAUGCUUCUUCACCAUGUAUCCUAGGAAAAAAAUCACCUAGGGGUGAUUAUUAAAAAAAAAAAAAAAA
rnacentral:lncRNA from 1 species